rnacentral:rRNA from 1 species
AUUGAACGCUGGCGGCAUGCCUUACACAUGCAAGUCGAACGGCAGCACGGGUGCUUGCACCUGGUGGCGAGUGGCGAACGGGUGAGUAAUACAUCGGAACAUGUCCUGUAGUGGGGGAUAGCCCGGCGAAAGCCGGAUUAAUACCGCAUACGAUCUACGGAUGACAGCGGGGGACCUUCGGGCCUCGCGCUAUAGGGUUGGCCGAUGGCUGAUUAGCUAGUUGGUGGGGUAAAGGCCUACCAAGGCGACGAUCAGUAGCUGGUCUGAGAGGACGACCAGCCACACUGGGACUGAGACACGGCCCAGACUCCUACGGGAGGCAGCAGUGGGGAAUUUUGGACAAUGGGCGAAAGCCUGAUCCAGCAAUGCCGCGUGUGUGAAGAAGGCCUUCGGGUUGUAAAGCACUUUUGUCCGGAAAGAAAUCCUUGGCCCUAAUACGGGCGGGGGAUGACGGUACCGGAAGAAUAAGCACCAGCUAACUACGUG